AGAUUGAACGCUAGCGGGAUGCUUUACACAUGCAAGUCGAACGGCAGCGCGGACUUCGGUCUGGCGGCGAGUGGCGAACGGGUGAGUAAUAUAUCGGAACGUGCCCAGUAGCGGGGGAUAACUACGCGAAAGCGUGGCUAAUACCGCAUACGCCCUACGGGGGAAAGGGGGGGAUCGCAAGACCUCUCACUAUUGGAGCGGCCGAUAUCGGAUUAGCUAGUUGGUGGGUAAAGCUCACCAAGGCUUCGAUCCGUAGCUGGUUUGAGAGGACGACCAGCCACACUGGGACUGAGACACGGCCCAGACUCCUACGGGAGGCAGCAGGUGGGGAAUUUGGACAAGUGGGGGAAACCCUGGAUCCAGCCAUCCCGCGUGUGCGAUGAAGGCCUUCGGGUUGUAAGCUACGUUUUGGACGAGGAAGAAACGGCGACCGGAUAAUACCGUGGCGUACACUGACGGUACCU
rnacentral:rRNA from 1 species